ACGGGUGAGUAAUGUAUAGCUAACCUGCCCUUUAGUGGGGGACAACAGAUGGAAACGUCUGCUAAUACCCCAUACUCCAGCCUAUCAUAAGGUAGGUUGGGAAAGAUUUAUUGCUAAAGGAUGGGGCUUUAUGGUAUCAGCUAGUUGGUGGGGUAACGGCCUACCAAGGCAAUGACGCCUACCUGGUCUGAGAGGAUGAUCAGGCACACUGGAACUGAGACACGGUCCAGACUCCUACGGGAGGCAGCAGUGGGGAAUAUUGCACAAUGGAGGAAACUCUGAUGCAGCAACGUCGCGUGGAGGAUGACGCAUUUCGGUGUGUAAACUCCUUUUAUAAGGGAAGAUAAUGACGGUACCUUAUGAAUAAGCACCGGCUAACUCCGUGCCAGCAGCCGCGGUAAUACGGAGGGUGCAAGCGUUACUCGGAAUCACUGGGCGUAAAGGAUGCGUAGGCUGGAAAUCAAGUCGAGAGUGAGAUCCAACGGCUCAACCGUUGAACUGCUCUCGAAACUGAUUACCUAGAAUAUGGGAGAGGUAGAUGGAAUUGGUGGUGUAGGGGUAAAAUCCGUAGA
rnacentral:rRNA from 1 species